rnacentral:hammerhead_ribozyme from 1 species
GCACUGCUGUGGAGUCCCACAAUAGGACGAAACGGCCGUCAAGUCU